rnacentral:rRNA from 1 species
UACGGGGGGGGCAAGCGUUGUUCGGAAUUACUGGGCGUAAAGGGCUCGUAGGUGGCCAACUAAGUCAGACGUGAAAUCCCUCGGCUUAACUGGGGAACUGCGUCUGAUACUGGAUGGCUUGAGUUCGGGAGAGGGAUGCGGAAUUCCAGGUGUAGCGGUGAAAUGCGUAGAUAUCUGGAGGAACACCGGUGGCGAAGGCGGCAUCCUGGACCGACACUGACACUGAGGAGCGAAAGCCAGGGGAGCAAACGGG